rnacentral:tRNA from 1 species
GCGCCCGUAGCUCAACCGGAUAGAGCGUUGGACUACGAAUCCAGAGGCUGGAGGUUCGAGUCCUCCCGGGCGCGCCA